rnacentral:tRNA from 1 species
GGUUUCAUAGUGUAGAGGUUAUCGUGUCUGCUUGAUACGCUGCAGGGCCUGGAUUCAAUCCCUAGUGAAACCA